CAUUUAAGAAGUAUCUUUAUAUGUUAGGCUUUCUAAGCAGACUUCCAUUCCGCAAAGGACAAAAAGUCUUGAUUACUUUUGCAGUAAAAAAAACUUAAAUGGGGAAAUGUUUAUAUAAGUGCAGCUUGCCAGAGCCUUGAGCGCAUACAUUUCAGUCACUUCAUUUGCAAGACAACAGCAACAACCACAUUAUUAAAUGACGUGUGCUUAAUUUAGUUUUUGUGGCCUCUUCCCUCACAGCGCAGCAACACAGUUAUCUCCGCACAGCCACUGUGGUCUAAAGUGCUUAGCAUUUACAUGCUAUGCUGUGUGUGAUGGAAAUGUGAGUUAGUGUAAGUGGUCGGGAAAAUAAUAAUUCAUAAAUGCAAUUACACAUGCAUUUCCAUAAGAGUUUUAUGAGUUUUUAUGCAAACAAAAAAGGGAUGGAAAUGCAUAUGCUGCGUUUGAAAGCCUGCAAUGAGAUAAAGAGCGCCUCUAUGUUUCCAUGGAGUUUUCUAACGCUGUGCUGGCGGUACAUAUGCAGACAAACACAAUGCUGUAAGCUUAUAAUCCUUGCAACAUAAAUCUUACUAACACACAUUUACUGUUAUGUGUAUUUUGUCUUCACGAUUGCAAUGUUACCUUCGUCAAGAAUUUUUAAUAAACACAUUUUGUACUUAAACCACACAAGUGAGCUGCACUCAAGUGGCAGCGCGUGCGUGCGUGUGUCUGCUGCUCAAGUCGUAAACAUGUGGGUAAAACCACUAUACAGUUACUUGGCCGCUCAUACAUUAGUAACGGAUAUAAAUAAUGGCAGCAGCAAAAUGCAGCAAUGUUUGAUGGAGAGUAUGUAGUUACUUUUGAAAGUAGUUCCGUAACUAGUAAAAUCAAGUGGUACUAGUCUGUAGCGUGUAGAAUGGCGAUAAUAAGUGGUGUAUGCAAAAUGCGUUUUUGAUUUCUGAAAUCCAUCAGUACUUACUUUAUUAACCCAAAUGGUACUAGUAUGUAACUGUGAAUAAGUGAUAUAGUAAAAUAUAUAAUAAUGCUUAUAACAAUGCGGAAAUGUAGAUUUUUUAUUAAAAAGCUGUGGUUACAUUAGGUUGUAGUUCCAUAACUAGUUCAAUUUUAACCGCAAAAGUACUAAUGCUUAAUUUGGACCAUUUGAUGAAUUAUAUCUACUGUUAAACUCAAAAAAUUAAAAGGCGUAUGUGGUUACAUAUGGAAGUAGUUACAUAACUAGACAAUUUUCGACACAAAGUGAACUAGUAUGCAUUUAUGAAAAUGUAGUUUUUUUUAACCUGUAUAAAAAUUAGUUGCUAAAUAAUUUGAUUAAAAAAAAUUUCUAGGACUAGUGUUAUUUAUGUCUCAAACGGUGCUAGCCUAUUAACUUUGUUUUCAGUAAAGCUUUAUUUAUUGUUAUUUUUUUUUGUUGCAGACUUUUCAUCAUUCAAAAAGCUGUCAUCGUUUAUGUCAGAUAUCUGUGAUUUUUUAAGUCAAAUUUUGGAAGCGUUUUGGUCACAGUGGCAGAUUCAAGGGCUGUUUAUCACACCGUUCUUGUACGACAAAUGCAAUUAAAAGUGAGUCGAAAAUGCAAUAAGUCAAGCAAAGUUUUGCCCGACACUCGGCACUUGGCACUUGGCGCACGACGACAAAAUAUGUACCCAAAGCACACCAGACACACUUUGAAGUCUUGCAAGAAGCAAAAGGUGAUUAUGAGUAGCGAAGCAGCGGAAGCAGGUUCGGAGCAGAAGCUGACUAAUUUGGCAAAAAAACUACUUCAUUAACGGUACAACUGACUAUAACGGCAUGAAGUGUUUUAAGUUGAUUUAUGUGACUAUGCGUAUGUAUGGGUGCACCAGAACGGUAAUGAGUGCAGCGAGGAAGUGUUUAUGGCUGCCGGGAGAGGAAGGUGUUUUUUUCUGCCCAAAGCUGACUCAUCUAAUAGAUAUAGCAAUGCCGGCCAAAAGAUUUAGCA